GCGGAAAUGACGGAAUGGCAGACGUGCAAGAUUGAGGGUCUUGUGAGCAAUCGCUCGUGUGGGUUCAAAUCCCAUUUUCCGCA
rfam:Enterococcus casseliflavus EC20, complete genome.